rnacentral:tRNA from 1 species
GCUAAGUAGCUUAAUGGUAAAGCGCCCCGUUGUGGCCGGGGUGAUUCCGGUUCGAUUCCGGGCUUAAGCCA